rnacentral:misc_RNA from 1 species
AACCUAGCACACCUGCGGUGUGUACCUGCGGAAGGAUCAUUACCUAGAGUUGUAGGCUUUGCCUGCUAUCUCUUACCCAUGUCUUUUGAGUACCUUACGUUUCCUCGGUGGGCUCGCCCACCGAUUGGACAAAUUUAAACCCUUUGCAGUUGAAAUCAGCGUCUGAAAAAACUUAAUAGUUACAACUUUUAACAAUGGAACU